AAUAGAUACCCGGGUAGUCCACGCCGUAAACGAUGAAUGCUAGGUGUUAGGGGUUUCGAUACCCUUGGUGCCGAAGUUAACACAUUAAGCAUUCCGCCUGGGGAGUACGGUCGCAAGACUGAAACUCAAAGGAAUUGACGGGGGACCCGCACAAGCAGUGGAGUAUGUGGUUUAAUUCGAAGCAACGCGAAGAACCUUACCAGGUCUUGACAUCCCUCUGAAUCCACUAGAGAUAGUGGCGGCCUUCGGGACAGAGGAGACAGGUGGUGCAUGGUUGUCGUCAGCUCGUGUCGUGAGAUGUUGGGUUAAGUCCCGCAACGAGCGCAACCCUUGAUCUUAGUUGCCAGCAUUUCGGAUGGGCACUCGUAGGAUGACUGCCGGUGACAAACCGGAGGAAGGUGGGGAUGACGUCAAAUCAUCAUGCCCCUUAUGACCUGGGCUACACACGUACUACAAUGGCCGAUACAACGGGAAGCGAAACCGCGAGGUGGAGCCAAUCCUAUCAAAGUCGUUCUCAGUUCGGAUUGCAGG
rnacentral:rRNA from 1 species